rnacentral:sRNA from 1 species
CAGCGGAGGGAUCAUUACUGAGUGUAAAAACUCCCAAACCACUGUGAACAUACCAUGUUGCUUCGGCGGUUCCCGUCCUGUCCUGCCUCACCGCGAGCCAGGCCGGGCCGCCGCCGGAGGACCCAGACUCUUGUCUUUAUAGUGACUUUCUGAGUGGCAUAAGCAAAAUAAAUCAAAACUUUCAGCAACGGAUCUCUUGGUUCUGGCAUCGAUGAAGAACGCAGCAAAAUGCGAUAAGUAAUGUGAAUUGCAGAAUUCAGUGAAUCAUCGAAUCUUUGAACGCACAUUGCGCCCGCCAGUACUCUGGCGGGCAUGCCUGUCUGAGCGUCAUUUCAACCCUCGGGACCCCGUUCGCGGGACCCGGCGCUGGGGAUCAGCUUGUAAAAGAGCUGGCCCUGAAAUCUAGUGGCGGUCCGCCAGCGAUCUCCUCUGUGCAGUAGUUAAUACCUCGCAGCUGGAUAGCGGUCGGGCCACGCCGUAAAACCCCCACUUUCUCAAGGUUGACCUCAGAUCAGGUAGGAAUACCCGCUGAACUUAAGCAUAUCAAUAAGCGGAGGAAAAGAAACCAACAGGGAUUGCCCUAGUAACGGCGAGUGAAGCGGCAACAGCUCAAAUUUGAAAUCUGGCCUUACGGUCCGAGUUGUAAUUUGCAGAGGAUGCUUCUGGCGACGUGCCUUCCGAGUUCCCUGGAACGGGACGCCAUAGAGGGUGAGAGCCCCGUCCGGUCGUGCACCUAGCCUCUGUGAAGCUCCUUCGACGAGUCGAGUAGUUUGGGAAUGCUGCUCUAAAUGGGAGGUAUACGUCUUCUAAAGCUAAAUACCGGCCAGAGACCGAUAGCGCACAAGUAGAGUGAUCGAAAGAUGAAAAGCACUUUGAAAAGAGGGUUAAAUAGUACGUGAAAUUGCUGAAAGGGAAGCGCUUAUGACCAGACUUGGGCUCGGUGAAUCAUCCGGCGUUCUCGCCGGUGCACUUUGCCGUCCCAGGCCAGCAUCAGUUCGCGCCGGGGGAUAAAGGUUUCGGGAAUGUGGCCCCCUUGGGGGUGUUAUAGCCCGUUGCGUAAUACCCUGGCGUGGACUGAGGUCCGCG